GCUGGGUGUGGUGGCUCACGCCUGUAAUCCUAGCACUUUGGGAGGCUGAGGUGGGCGGAUCACCUGAGGUCAGGAGUUCAAGACCAGCCUGGCCAACAUGGUGAAACCCCUUCUCUA
rnacentral:SRP_RNA from 1 species